rnacentral:rRNA from 1 species
AGUGAACGCUGGCGGUAGACCUAACACAUGCAAGUCGAACGGCAGCACAGUAAGAGCUUGCUCUUACGGGUGGCGAGUGGCGGACGGGUGAGGAAUACAUCGGAAUCUACUUUUUCGUGGGGGAUAACGUAGGGAAACUUACGCUAAUACCGCAUACGACCUACGGGUGAAAGCAGGGGAUCUUCGGACCUUGCGCGAUUGAAUGAGCCGAUGUCGGAUUAGCUAGUUGGCGGGGUAAAGGCCCACCAAGGCGACGAUCCGUAGCUGGUCUGAGAGGAUGAUCAGCCACACUGGAACUGAGACACGGUCCAGACUCCUACGGGAGGCAACAGUGGGGAAUAUUGGACAAUGGGCGCAAGCCUGAUCCAGCCAUACCGCGUGGGUGAAGAAGGCCUUCGGGUUGUAAAGCCCUUUUGUUGGGAAAGAAAAGCAGCAGGUUAAUACCCCGCUGUUCUGACGGUACCCAAAGAAUAAGCACCGGCUAACUUCGUG